GCUGAAAGCUACCGGUGAAAAACCGUUAUCAACGUUCUUCACAAAGAAAUCUGAAGUUAAAUGCGAACCAGAGCCUGAAUUACUGAAAUCAUCCAAACAAGAACAUGAUCCCUGCAAUUUGAAGGAAGAACCAGGUUCAGAUGAUGUUGAGCAAAAAGUCAUCGACGAGGAGGAGGAUAG